rnacentral:lncRNA from 1 species
CCUCAUGUCUUCUUUCCCCUCCUUCUUUCUUUCCUCCUCCUCUCUCUUCCUUCUCCUCUUCUCCCUCUCUUUCUGUGGCUUCAUCCCUCCCCUCCUUGAAACUAAAUUCCACUGUAAACAACCCCGAACAAUAGCAGCCAAAGGGAAGUGCACACAAUAACCUUGUGCGAGAAACCGGGGCCAUGUCCAUGCCAAGCCAAAUCUCACCCAUCAUGUC